CAUUUCUAUUUUUUCUAUCAUAUAAAAGCCGGUUCAAAACGACUCCAUUCGUGGUGUCCACGUUGUUCCUUUUUAUUUAGACCGUUCGAUCCUAUCUCAAUGGCAUGCAUCGAGCUCCAGGCCACCACGCCUUUCUCUUGCUUCCUCUAGAGGCUUCGCUUCAUGUCCCGUCCAUCGACCUGCCCCCACCCAAAUCCGUCUUGCUCCCACAAACCAAGUUCCUCACGUCUCUAUCAAUCCCUCUUCACACUUCUCUGACCCUUCCUCCAGGCACCAGGACCUUCUUUGGCGAUGCCAGCACCACCGCUAGCCGCGGCCUGAAUCUAGGAUUUACCUUUUCCCGUCGCUAGCGUCCGGAUCACGUCGAUAGGAGCCUCCGCGAUGCUGUCGUGCGCAAGGUCGAUGCUUCAGAAGAGCGGGUUAGAGUCUUCCCUCCCGCAGAGGUGCAGCGGGGAGGGCGAGUGCUCCACUGGCGUGGGGCCGACCACCUCACCAGCCCCCACUGCUCGUCGUGUGAGUCACCAUUGUCGACUAGCACCUGGUGGAACCGUCGUCGUCCCGCUAACCUCGAGCCAAACCCUAGCUACCGACCGGCUCCGUGGGCGGCAACUCAUGUUCAACUCACGGCGAUGGCGAUGACAACAGCAGGCUCGGGCUCUAGGUCGCGACUUGUGCGACUGCUGCGGUGCACCAGGGCGGGGUUGCUAGCUGUGGUCUAUGGGCGAUGGUGCUGCGGCUGCGAUCCACGAGUGCGUACCUUGGAGAUGGCUGGUGGCAUGGUGUCCAGUGGCGGUAGUGCGUCGUGAAGGCCUCAGGUCUGACAUCGCAUUUACAACUCCUGAAACAAUUUUAGAACUCCUAAAACAAUGUUUGAAUUCAAUGGACAGUGAAGUUUGAGCAGGGACAACACAUUUUUCCUUUAAAUAAAUGAACUGAUUCACGUAAAAUUGCUAUAUAAUUCAUGUAAAAUUAUUGUGUUUCAAAUGGAUCCUAAGUGUCUAUUUUAUUUCUAACAUAGUCUUUCAGUUUCUGUAAUCAUUUGAUUUACAUUGGAAAGUUUCUCAGUCUAUUUAUUUUAUAGAAUGCCGUUUUAUUUGACAUCUCUUUAUAAACACCAUCCUUUUAUUUAAUUUGGUAAUGAGCUGGAAAUUGGAUGUAUGCGCAUAUAAGAAGCAACUUCUAAUUCUUGCUCUGCCAUUGGUUACUAAGUGGAACUGUUAUGCUACCAUUUAUAUGAUUCUCAGAGACAGUUCCUGAUAUCAUUUGAUUUGAAGUGGAAACUUUCAUAAACUACUUAUCUAUUAUCAUGUAUAUGUCGUUUUAUUUGACUCCUCUGACCAAGAUACUCGGCGUGAGGAAUAUAAAAGGUAGGAUUCAAUGGUUUCGGCCUAUUUCCUUCUAUGGCAUAUUAAUAUUGAGCAUGCAUAUUACCUAACACCAUAUAAUGUGCAUCUCGACUUUGAUUUAUAUUGUUAAUAACAUCUUAAAUGUUUACUUUGAUACUUCUGCAAGAAGAUAAUUGGUAUAGUGCUGGUAAGGGUGCCCACUUCAAUCUCAUGCGUGUAGAAAAAGAUAAGGAUAACUUUCCAAAACAUUCCAAAGUGAGUUUUUAUUUCCACAUAUGCUAACAACAUCAACUUCAGUUUAACAUACUUUCCAAUGGGCUCCAAAUCGAGCAAAUUUCUAUAAAUCAGCUACUUGCCUUUUGCAACAUAAACUGUAUUUCUUUUUCUUUUAUUUUUUCCCAUCUAUGAUUGGUAACUUGAUAACCAAAACUUUUGCAUGGGAGGAUGAAAAAAAUUGCAACACUUCCUUCUCCUUUGUUAGAUCUUCUUUAAGAGUUUCCAUAAAAAAGAAUGUCACACGUAUAUUUUAAAUUGUUAACAUAAUAUAUUAGUUUAUCUUAUUUCAGGCUCCAGCUGAUCCAUACUUUGCAUCCUUGCUAAUGUGGAACGUGAGCCAUGAAGACACCCAAAUUUCUAAAAUUGAGUUUUAAUUUGAAAGAAGGAAGCUUCUGAUGACAUAAGGAAGCAGUACAAUGACUCUUGUGUGCUUAACUAUAUCCUUGAUUCGUGAUUAUAGCUUCAUUAUUAAAUUAGUGUAGAUUCAAGCUAUAUCCUUUAGUGUUCUCUGACAUUAUGGUCUGUGUUUAGUAGGUACUUCAGUGAAACAUAAUCAGUUCCAUGGUUACAACAAAUCACAGUUCUCCAUUACAUUACAUCAAUGUGAUCUUCGCGCAAAGUCUCAACAAUUUUGGUCUCACCCUUCUGAUGUAAAGAAAGAAAACUACAUUGAUCUGAGCUAUGCUUUGAAGGUCGAUGUAAUAAAGAAGAAGCACUUAGAUGUUGCUGCUCAUGGAUUUAGGGAAAACAAACAUGCACGUUGCUGAUAAUCCAAUUACCUCUGAAUCAAGUUAAUGCUUACCUUCAGCUGGUUGUCAGCUGUUCCGUAGAAUCUUUGUUUGGCUGAUUGUUCGUAAAAUUGCAAUGUCAAAUAAGUAUAUC